rnacentral:rRNA from 1 species
AGAGCGAACGCUGGCGGCAGGCCUAACACAUGCAAGUCGAGCGCCCCGCAAGGGGAGCGGCAGACGGGAGAGUAACACGUGGGAACGUACCCUUUGGUUCGGAACAACACAGGGAAACUUGUGCUAAUACCGGAUAAGCCCUUACGGGGAAAGAUUUAUCGCCAAAGGAUCGGCCCGCGUCUGAUUAGCUUGUUGGUGAGGUAACGGCUCACCAAGGCUACGAUCAGUAGCUGGUCUGAGAGGAUGAUCAGCCUCACUGGGACUGAGACACGGCCCAGACUCCUACGGGAGGCAGCAGUGGGGAAUAUUGGACAAUGGGCGCAAGCCUGAUCCAGCCAUGCCGCGUGGAUGAUGAAGGCCCUAGGGUUGUAAAGGUCCUUUCGACGGGAAGAUAAUGACGGUACCCGUAGAAGAAGCCCCGGCUAACUUCGCGCCAGCAGCCGC